rnacentral:rRNA from 1 species
CCUACGGGAGGCUGCAGUCGAGAAUUAUUCACAAUGGGGGAAACCCUGAUGGUGCGACGCCGCGUGGGGGAAUGAAGGUCUUCGGAUUGUAAACCCCUGUCAUGUGGGAGCAAAUUAAAAAGAUAGUACCACAAGAGGAAGAGACGGCUAACUCUGUGCCAGCAGCCGCGGUAAUACAGAGGUCUCAAGCGUUGUUCGGAAUCACUGGGCGUAAAGCGUGCGUAGGCUGUUUCGUAAGUCGUGUGUGAAAGGCGCGGGCUCAACCCGCGGACGGCACAUGAUACUGCGAGACUAGAGUAGUGGAGGGGGAACCGGAAUGCUCGGUGUAGCAGUGAAAUGCGUAGAUAUCGAGAGGAACACUCGUGGCGAAGGCGGGUUCCUGGACAUUAACUGACGCUGAGGCACGAAGGCCAGGGGAGCGAAAGGGAUUAGAUACCCGAGUAGUC